ACUAUACAAGCACAGCUGGAUUCCCUUACAUGAUGUUUUCGAAGACUGUUUUUUUCAUCACGCUCCUGCCAUCUCAUUAUUUUGCAUUGAAGAUACAUUGCCAGCUACUGCAGCCGUGGAACUAAGUGUUGCUAAUGAAUUGUGAAUGGAAGUGAUCAUUCAUCUCCAGUUAUCUUCCCCUUUCUGUGAUUGAAACCCAGAUUUGGAGCUGAGUCAGCUUUGAGCAGGCAAGAAUGCUAAUGCUUAAGAGCCACAGCUUGUUCUCGGCUCUCUCCCUGCAUGAAUCAACAGCAGUCCCAGGAUAGGCAGAGACCAUCAGGAACUUAACCUUCACACAGAGAGAGACUCCAGAUCUCAGAGAGCAGUGCUCAAGAUUCCAAGACAGAACCCUGGGAUUUUCUACUUAUGCCCAAGAUGUCUGACAAACGAACAUGUAAGAAAAUGCUUUAUUUUUCUCAGCAAGGAUGGAGAAUUUAUUAUGAGAUGCACAUCUCAGCGCAUGCUGCCUCCUUCAUGUCGUCAUGCCCUGCCUGGCGAUAGAUUGCGGCUGAGAGCAGAAGGCCAAUUAAUUUGCCUGAUAUGUGACACUCCAUUCAGGGUAAUGGACAAGAUGGAGUUUGCAGAGGCGAGGAAAGCACCUGUUCUGUAUGGGUGCCUCUCACACCACCUCUCUGAUCAUCUUCUUCAGCUCCCUUUUUGGAAGCUCCUCUUCUCAUUCCUCAGGGUCUCACUCUGUCACCCAGGCUGGAGCGCAGAGGCAUGAUCAUGGCUCACUGCAGCCUCGACUUCCCAGGACCAAGAGAUACUCCCACCUCAGUCUCCCAAGUAGCUGGGACCACAGGU
rnacentral:sRNA from 1 species